rnacentral:rRNA from 1 species
UACGUAGGGUGCAAGCGUUAAUCGGAAUUACUGGGCGUAAAGCGUGCGCAGGCGGUUUUGUAAGUUUGUCGUGAAAGCCCCGGGCUCAACCUGGGAAUUGCGAUGAAGACUGCAAGGCUUGAAUCUGGCAGAGGGGGGUAGAAUUCCACGUGUAGCAGUGAAAUGCGUAGAGAUGUGGAGGAACACCGGUGGCGAAGGCGGCAUCCUGGACCGAAAUUGACGCUGAGGCGCGAGAGCCAGGGGAGCAAACGGG